rnacentral:rRNA from 1 species
CAGUCGCCGCGGGAAUACAGAGGGUGCAAGCGUUAAUCGGAAUUACUGGGCGUAAAGCGCGCGUAGGUGGUUCGCCAAGUUGGAUGUGAAAUCCCCGGACUCAACCUGGGAACUGCAUCCAAAACUGGCGAGCUAGAGUAUGGUAGAGGGUGGUGGAAUUUCCUGUGUAGCGGUGAAAUGCGUAGAUAUAGGAAGGAACAUCAGUGGCGAAGGCGACCACCUGGACUGAUACUGACACUGAGGUGCGAAAGCGUGGGGAGCAAACAGGAUUAGAUACCCCGGUAGUCCCUGUCUCUUAUAC